rnacentral:rRNA from 1 species
AGUAAUGCGAAAGCAAGCUGCCCUCCGAUUCGGGACAACGGCUGGAAACGGCCGCUAAUACCGGAUACGAACGCGGUUCCGCAUGGGAUUGCGUUGAAAGGCCGGGACCUUCGGGCCGGUCGUCGGGGGAGGCGCUUUCGUGCCAUCGGCUAGUUGGUGGGGUAACGGCCCACCAAGGCUUACGGCUAGGUGGACUGAGAGGUUGGUCACCCGCACUGGGACUGAGACACUGCCCAGACUCCUGCGGGAGGCUGCAGUCGAGGAUCAUUUGCAAUGGGCGAAAGCCUGACAAUGCGACGCUGCGUGCAGGAUGAAGGUCUUCGGAUCGUAAACUGCUGUCAGGGGGGAAAAGGACGCGGCCCCGAACAAGGGCUGCCGUUUGAUUGUACCUCCAGAGGAAGUGACGGCUAACUCUGUGCCAGCAGCCGCGGUAAUACAGAGGUCACUAGCGUUGUUCGGAUUUACUGGGCGUAAAGCGUGCGCAGGCGGCCGACCUUGUCGGAUGUGAAAGCCCGGGGCUCAGCCCCGGAAGUGCAUCCGAAACCGGUCGGCUCGAGUCCGGGAAGGGAGUCUGGAACACACGGUGUAGCGGUGAAAUGCGUUGAUAUCGUGUGGAACACCGGUAGCGAA